rnacentral:rRNA from 1 species
AAUACCGCAUACGUCCUACGGGAGAAAGCAGGGGACCUUCGGGCCUUGCGCUAUCAGAUGAGCCUAGGUCGGAUUAGCUAGUUGGUGAGGUAAUGGCUCACCAAGGCUACGAUCCGUAACUGGUCUGAGAGGAUGAUCAGUCACACUGGAACGGAGACACGGUCCAGACUCCUACGGGAGGCAGCAGUGGGGAAUAUUGGACAAUGGGCGAAAGCCUGAUCCAAACAGGCCGCGUGUGUGAAGAAGGUCUUCGGA